UUCGGUGAGGAUCUUAAUACGCUGUAUCAGUUAUCCUCUUGGAUCUAAUUUAAUUUGGAUUGUUAGUGAUUUUAAUAUCUUUUUGGUGUCUGGUAGAUUACUUGUAGGAUUGUUGCAAAGGAAGCACAAUAUAUGGAUUCAGGGGUAGUGGACCUGCUGGGAUCAUGAAAUGCAAAUAUGUGGAGCUGAACUCGCAGUUUAUUUACCCAUAUAGAAAUCAGGGUGGCUUUGAUAUAUAUGAUCCGUAGUGGAACAGACAAAAUUGAAACCCCAGAACAGUUUAAGCAAGCUGAAGAAACGGCAUUAAAACUUGAUUUGGAUGGGCAUGUUGUAAUUGGUGGGGACGACUCGAAUAAAAAUGCUGGCCUCCUUGCCGAAAAAGUUAGGUCAAUUCUUUAUUUUCUAUAUCAAAACUCUGGUUGUUUUUUGUUUUAAAUUUUACUUUUGUUUUCUAUGAAUUUUUUAAAAUUGGAUUAUUGAUUUGUACUUUUUGUAGUUGUAAUGCACUCCUACUGGUCUGAUAUUACUUGUUGCAUUGUAUUCAGGAUUAAAAAUUUGAAAACUCAAGUGAUUGGAUGCCCUAAGACCAUUGAUGGGGAUUUGAAAUGCAAAGUCUAUCGGAAGUACUAACCCCACCAGACAAUCGAGUCAUCUGCGAGUCUCUUCUUUUUUGACGAUUUGAGCGAACUAAGGCCAAACAAGCCAAGUGCCAACAUUGACCAAAUUCAACAUGAGAAUUGAUAAGUUGAUUCACAUCUCGAUAUAUUAUA